CUAAUGGAACAAUUCUGACUCCUCCAGUGUUGGAAAGUCUGCAGAAUAGCUCUUGAGGCUAUAAUUUUCCUGACCAUCCAGCUGGCUUGUGUAGGAAUUGGCAUGUCCUCUAUCAACUUAUCUUUUAUGUAAUAAGCAGUAAUCCAUCUUAUCCACAGUUUAUCCUUUUUGUGAGCAAGAUCCCAGCAAGUCUUUGCAAUUGCAGCUUUAUUCCAGAGCAUAAGAUUAAUAAGGUUCAUCCUUCCUGCUGAUUUGGGGGUGC
rnacentral:lncRNA from 1 species